CAGCCAUGCCGCGUGUGUGAAGAAGGCCUUCGGGUUGUAAAGCACUUUCAGUCGUGAGGAAGGUGGUAGUGUUAAUAGCACUAUCAUUUGACGUUAGCGACAGAAGAAGCACCGGCUAACUCCGUGCCAGCAGCCGCGGUAAUACGGAGGGUGCGAGCGUUAAUCGGAAUUACUGGGCGUAAAGCGCAUGCAGGUGGUUUGUUAAGUCAGAUGUGAAAGCCCGGGGCUCAACCUCGGAAUAGCAUUUGAAACUGGCAGACUAGAGUACUGUAGAGGGGGGUAGAAUUUCAGGUGUAGCGGUGAAAUGCGUAGAGAUCUGAAGGAAUACCGGUGGCGAAGGCGGCCCCCUGGACAGAUACUGACACUCAGAUGCGAAAGCGUGGGGAGCAAACAGGAUUAGAUACCCUGGUAGUCCACGCCGUAAACGAUGUCUACUUGGAGGUUGUGGCCUUGAGCCGUGGCUUUCGGAGCUAACGCGUUAAGUAGACCGCCUGG
rnacentral:rRNA from 1 species